rnacentral:rRNA from 1 species
UACGAAGGGGGCUAGCGUUGCUCGGAAUCACUGGGCGUAAAGCGCACGUAGGCGGCUUUUUAAGUCAGGGGUGAAAUCCUGGAGCUCAACUCCAGAACUGCCUUUGAUACUGAGAGCUUGAGUCCGGGGGAGGUGAGUGGAACUGCGAGUGUAGAGGUGAAAUUCGUAGAUAUUCGCAAGAACACCAGUGGCGAAGGCGGCUCACUGGCCCGGUACUGACGCUGAGGUGCGAAAGCGUGGGGAGCAAACAGG